rnacentral:rRNA from 1 species
GACGAACGCUGGCGGCGUGCUUAACACAUGCAAGUCGAACGGUAAGGCCCUUCGGGGUACACGAGUGGCGAACGGGUGAGUAACACGUGGGUGAUCUGCCCUGCACUUCGGGAUAAGCUUGGGAAACUGGGUCUAAUACCGGAUAGGACCACUGCCUGCAUGGGUGGUGGGGGAAAGCUUUUGCGGUGUGGGAUGGGCCCGCGGCCUAUCAGCUUGUUGGUGGGGUGAUGGCCUGCCAAGGCGACGACGGGUAGCCGGCCUGAGAGGGUGACCGGGCACACUGGGACUGAGAUACGGCCCAGACUCCUACGGGAGGCAGCAGUGGGGAAUAUUGCACAAUGGGCGCAAGCCUGAUGCAGCGACGCCGCGUGAGGGAUGACGGCCUUCGGGUUGUAAACCUCUUUCAGCAUCGACGAAGCGAAAGUGACGGUAGGUGCAGAAGAAGGACCGGCCAACUACGUGCCAGCAGCCGCAGUAA